GACUGGGGCUACUUAUAGCCGCCGCCGGCCCAACAGUAAUUAGGGGCUUAGCCCAGUUAUCGUAUUUUUAUUUAGCUAUGAGAUUAUAUAUACUCAUGUAAAGACCUAUUUUCGAAUUAAGAAGAAGCAAACUUAUUUGCUCGGCUUCUGUCGGGAAACCCUAAACCCUAGCCGCCGUUGGCGGCCUUCUCCAUCUCGCGAUCACGGCGCCACAACGCCGUCGCUCGCGCCCACAACCUCGCCAAACCACCAGCCACCCAUAUAACCUACGCCUACGCCCUGGUAGGAGGCCAGCUCCUACCAAUCUGGUAUCAACUGUCUCAGGUCCGAUCAUGGCUGCCUCUCUGCCCACCGCCUCCCAGCUGCCACCCGUCACCACCAUGCCGCCGGCCCUCUCGGGGCUGCUCGCCGCCGGGCCACCAACCGCCACUGCAACCAUCGUCUUCACGCCGGAAGAGAUGACGGCGGUGCUUCAGGAGCUCGAGCAGGCGGUCGCGGGCAUUAGCACCUUCCUCUUGGGUCCCUAUGCCUCGCCGUCGCCCGACACUUUCGUCGCCAUCGUGGCGUAUCAGCAGCAGCAGAGGCCGCCGCCACCCGUCUCGGCCGCCCCUCCCUCCCCGGGAGUCGCGACUGCCGGCUCGGGGGCGCUACCGGGACCGGGGAUCCCCACCCACCAACUCUGGUUCCCCCCAUCGCCGUCGCCAUUGCGUCGUGGCUCGCCGGCUCCAUCAGACCGGUCUACACGACGACCCUGAUUCAGCCGCACCUCUGUCGGCCGCACUGUCACACUUGGCCACGCCGUAUGACGGGCCCUCAGGCACCCUCGUGCCCUACGGCGGCGGCGACGGCCCCCUCUUCCAGGGCCGGCCCCUGCUGCCAGCCUUCUCGGCCACGACCUCCUCAGCAGCCGGUGUCGAGGGCGUGCUCCUGCACGCUUUUCACGCCACGCAGCCGCCGCGUUUCUCCAAGCUCGAGUUUGUGACCUACGACGGCACCUUCGACCCUCUGAACUGGCUCAACCAAUGCGAGCAGUUUUUGCGGGGGCAACGCACCCUCGCGUCGCCUCCUACCACCUGCGGGGUGCGGCUCAGACAUGGUACAUAGCGCCCGCUAUUCGCAAUCGGUUACGCCUACCUGGCUCCGUAACAAAUCCGCUAUCCGCUAUUUAAAACCUUGAUGGUACUACGCCCUCGAACAGGACGAAGGCGGCAUGCCACUGUGGGAGCGAUUCCGUGAGCUCUGCAUGUUGCGUUUCGGGCCUUCGGUCCGCGGCAGCCGCUUGGCCGAGUUGGGACGCCUGUCGUUCCUCUCAACGGUGCAGGACUCCGCCGUCCGCUUCCAAGCCCUGGCCUGCCACGCCCCCAGCGUCUCGAGUCGCUAGCCAGUUGAGUUGUUCGUGGGUGGUCUGCCCGACCACAUCUGCGUCGAUGUGGAGAUGUGCGGGCCCCAAGACCUCCAGACGACCAUGUACUACGCUUGCGCUUUCGAGCAUCGCGCGACGGCCAUGCAGCACGCGUCGACAUCGUGGGCCCCUCGCUAGGUGCCUCCGCCACCACCUCCCGCGCCACAUCGGGCCCCGGCUGCAGCAGCACCCACUGCCGCGGUUCCGACGUGCCCGUUCCGUUGGCUCACGCUGGCCGAGCAACUCGAGCGUCGUCGCCAAGGCCUCUGCUACAACUGCGACGAGCCCUAUGUCCCCGGACUCGUGUGCCCACGACUCUUCUACCUCGAGGCAGCCGACUACAUCGAGGACGCCACCGUCGCCGCCGCUCCCGGUGCCGUGGCCGCCCUGCCAGGCGGGGAAGACGCCGCCGAGGUCGCUCCGGCGAAUGCAUUCGUGGCUCCACGCGCUCGCGGGUAUCCGGACGGAGAAAACCAUGUUGCUCCCGGUCACCAUCAAGGGCGAGCAACUCCUGGCGCUACUCGAUACCGGCUCCACCCAUAAUUUUCUGUCCGGGGCCACCAUGCACCGUCUCGCGUUUCAUCCGACUGGAGGGGAGCACCUCUGGAUCACGUUGGCCAAAGGUGACCGUCUUUCCUGCCAGGGCAUUGCUCGCAAUGUUCCUCUUGCCAUCGGUGACGAGCAGUUCUCCAUCACGUGCGCCGGCCUCGACUUGGGCUGCUUUGAUGUCAUCCUUNNNNNNNNNNNNNNNNNNNNNNNNNNNNNNNNNNNNNNNNNNNNNNNNNNNNNNNNNNNNNNNNNNNNNNNNNNNNNNNNNNNNNNNNNNNNNNNNNNNNNNNNNNNNNNNNNNNNNNNNNNNNNNNNNNNNNNNNNNNNNNNNNNNNNNNNNNNNNNNNNNNNNNNNNNNNNNNNNNNNNNNNNNNNNNNNNNNNNNNNNNNNNNNNNNNNNNNNNNNNNNNNNNNNNNNNNNNNNNNNNNNNNNNNNNNNNNNNNNNNNNNNNNNNNNNNNNNNNNNNNNNNNNNNNNNNNNNNNNNNNNNNNNNNNNNNNNNNNNNNNNNNNNNNNNNNNNNNNNNNNNNNNNNNNNNNNNNNNNNNNNNNNNNNNNNNNACGUUGCAGCCGGCAGGACUGCUGUAACCCCUUGAGGUUCUCUCACAGGUGUGGACGGACAUCUCCAUGGAUUUCAUCAUCGAGGGUCUUCCCAAAGUGGGCGGCAAGUCCGUCAUUCUCACGGUGGUAGACCGUUUCUCCAAGUACGCCCACUUCGUUGCACUGGGCCAUCCCUACACCGCCACAUCUGUCGCACACGCCUUCUUUGACGGAAUAGUCCGUCUCCAGGAUUCCCUUCGUCGAUCGUCUGCGACCGAGAUCCAGUGUUUACCAUCCACACCUGGCGUGAUCUUUUCAAGAUGGCGGGUGUCAAGUUGCGUCUGAGCACAGCGUUCCAUCCUCAGACCGACGGCCAGUCGGAGAUUGUGAACAAGGUGAUCGCAAUGUACUUACGUUGUGCUACAGGUGAUCGCCCACGUGCCUGGGUGGACGCUCGCAACACAUCCUACCACUCCGUUCGAGGUCGUUUAUGGCCGUCCUCACCGCCCAUGCGUCCGUUCCAGGAAGGGGUGGCUCAGACCGAGGUGGCAAGCGAGCUUCUCCGCAGCAGGGAUGAGGUUCUCGCGGAGGUGCGUCAACGUCUUCUCCAAGCGCAGCAGCUGUCCACGAAGUACUAUGACGCCCAUCAUCGCGAUGCAGAGUUUGCGGUAGGCGAUUGGGUGUGGCUGCGCCUUCUCCAUCGCACCACUCAGUCGCUUGACCCGUGCGCCAAGCGCAAGCUCGGGCCGCGUUACACCGGGCCGUUUCCGGUGGUGGAGCGCGUCGGCAGCGUGGCCUACCGGCUACAAUUGCCAUUGGGCGCUCGUAUCCAUGAUGUCUUCCAUGUGGGGCUGCUCAAGCCUUUCCGCGGUGAGCCACCGGCAUCUUCGCCGGUCCUUCCGCCAGCUGCCAACGGUCGCCUACUUCCAGGUCCCCAGAAGGUGUUGAGGGCUCAGCUGAGCCGUGGAGUUUGGCGACUUCUGAUUCAGUGGCAAGGCCUUUCCGAGGAGGACGCCACUUGGGAGCAGCUCGAGGAGUUCCGCCAGCAGUUUCCAGACUUCUAGCUCGAGGACGAGCUGUUUGCGUAGACGGGGAGAGAUGUUAUGACAGGGGCUACUUAUAGCCGCCGCCGGCCCAACAGUAAUUAGGAGCUUAGCCCAGUUAUUAUUGUAUUUUUAUUUAGCUAUGAGAUUAUAUAUACUCAUCAUGUAAAGACCUAUUUUGGCAUUAAGAAGAAGCAAACUUAUUUGCUCGCCUUCUGCCUGGAAACCCUAAACCCUAGCCGCCGCCGGCGGCCUUAUCCAUCUCGCGAUCACGGCGCCACAGCGCCGUCGCUCGUGCCCAUAGCCUCGCCAAACAUAAUGAAAUCAGUCAUCAAUAUACCUUUGCUGAAUUUAGCUGAAUUUAGAACAUAGCUGAAUUUAGAUUUGGACUUUCUAGGAAGUUAGUAUAAUUGAUAGUUGUGGUCAACUGAUUUCAUUAUGUUAUAUACUUUUAGUGCUCAUUCUACCAGAAUUCCUUCAUAGAAAUAGGAGACGGAUGUUUCCUUACAUGGGAGAGAGCAUAGAUGCUUCAGGCUCUGGACAGUCUGUUUACAAGGUCAACAAACAACAUAUGGAUAUUUUUCUUGAUAUAAAAAAUGCACGUCCCUUUUGGACAUUUUGAUGGCGUAAUGCACCUGAUCUGUAUGCAUUAGGAUUCAUAUUAGGUCUUCCUUUUCGUGGUUUUCAAUGAAGGUGUUUUCAUGCUGGCCAAUCUAAGACCUUCCUUCUUCAUACCUUCAACUGUCUGAUGGGUGACGCUUAUGUUUUAUCAGUCAUCAAUAUACCUUUGCCAUUUCUUUUGCAGAGCAAAGUGACGAGAUCAACUGCACCACAAGCUUUUAUGAUAAAUGUCAUCCACCUACAAAGAGCUAUGGCAAGGUGCGCAUUUUAGUGCCUUCACUCCUAGUUUUUGUAUGUUACAAUACUUUUGUGGUUAGUAUUUAGAAAUGUUUUGACAACUUUCCUGGUUAUAUAUGUAGGGUGAUGGAGCAGCAUUCACUCUUGAACUAGAGUACUUUAACUUAGGCAAACGUGCUUCCCAAGUGAAAGAUCGGAAAAGAGCACCGAUCACAGUGAAUCAUCAACCAAAAAGGCGUACCGGUUGUCAAAAUAUUGCUGACAAGAAACAUUUAGAUACAAUUGGUAAGAAGUUAGGUAGGAAGAUCUGUACAGAAGAUCAACAGAAUAACUCUGUCAAGCCAAAGGGCAUGUCCAGUAAACUACAAACAGAAGAUCUCACUUUUGGGACCAAGAGGUAUUCACUCCUAGUUGCUGAUCCAAUUCAUCUGUUCUUUUACUUUUAGUAGUUCUAUGAGCUGUGUUUUCUCUUCUUUAGCUGUUGUCUGUUUUGCUUAUGCAUCUGAAACUUUUCAAUUUGUUCUUGCUGUACAACAUUGAUGCCUUGUUGUGAUAUUUUGAUUGUGUGUGUCUCCAUUUGUUCAUUUUUUUUCUGUUUCCACUCUGUAGCAACAAGACACUUUUGUGUUCCAUUUAUAAACAAAUUUCAAUAUAAAUAAUUCUGGUAUUUUUUCUGAUCUGGUAGACACUGAUAUCUUUGUUUUGUUUGUGUCUACGGAGGGCUUGUUAUCAUCAUUAGAGACUUUAAAGGUUAUAUGUCUUGUUACUGUAGCAAUGGCGUGCUCAUUUAUCUUCAAUGCUAUAUCUUCUUCAUAUAGUCCAUAACGUCACCAUUAGCUGUUAGUGGAAUUUAAUGAAAUAAUGAAAAAGUGGUCUUAUGACCUUGCAUAUACGACACAUAGUGCCCUCAUAGCCAGCUAUUUGGAUUAACCUAAUGAAGUCACCAUGUGGGAAAAAUUUGCCUUAUCUUUUCUAGUUUAUAAGAGGAACAUAGUUGCAUCUGUAUAGUUCUUAUAAGUGAUAUUCGUCUUUAAAACCACCAUAUGUGGUAUAAACCCUGGACCCUGACUGUAUAUUGUAGUUGUGUUGGAUGGGAAGCCAAGGCUUGUAGCCAUGGCGUCCCAGAGCUCGUGGGUGUUAGGGUAGGAGAACAGAUUUCCUGUGGGCUUGGGCUCCUGUUGGUAUGUGGUACCCCACAUAACAUUUUGUUUCUCUGAUAAAUUGUUCUGAUGUGCAGGUGGGACCAUUCCAAGAAUCAUGCCUACCAAUAUGGGAGGUUAAAUAGACGAAACGAGAAGAAGGUGAAUAUGCUGACAACUGGUUCGCCUUUUUCUUUGACUGUCAUGUGGUAUUCUUUUUUACAUUCCCUCCUUAUGAAAAUGAAAUUUGUUAUCAGAACUAAAAUUGCUAUAUGCAUCUAGCGUUGUACUUAUCAUGGUGUAACAUUAUGGGUACAAAUACAAACGUUGUUUCUGUUAUUUCAUCCAUCACAUUUUCUGAAUAAUAAAUCUAUUUUUAGCAUAAACAGUAGGGCUCCUACUCUGGAUAAUAAAUCUAUUGAGCUAAAACCUAGAUCUGCCAAAUACAAAUAUUGGUCAUCAAAUGAUGGAUGGUGUUUGGAUUUGAUUCACUGAGAAGAUCAUCAUUGAUGCUUCUAUACUUCAUCAUUCAUUGAUGAUUCAAUACUUCAUCAUUAAUUUCAUUAAUCUUAGCUGCAAAUGUUUGACAUGAACUAAAAUUUCUACAUAUGUAUUCCAAUCAUGCUCUUAUCUUUGUCAGGAAGUAGUUCUCUUGGAUGACGAGGAUAUAGAACCUUCUACAUCAGUUGAUGUUGAGAUGGCUAAUAUAUGGUAAAUUGUUAACAUAAUAAGUGAUAAUGUUUCUUCCUGUUAACAUUUCAUUACUUUAUAUUGUAAAUUAGUGACCAAUUAUUUUGUUCAAUUAAUCAAAUCGGACUUCUGUAGGGACAUAUCACAGAUCUACUAUCCAUCAAGGUGAGAAUCAUGUAUUGUUAGAGGUAUUGACAGAGGGAUUCUCCUCCCAUACUAAUGUCUACUACUGUCUACAGGACUGAUCCAGAAACUGUUGAGCUGACAUAUUCUGACAUAAAAUGUCUUGACCCUGAAGUUUUUUUAAAAUCACCUGUCAUAAACUUUUACAUCCAGUAAGUAAUAUAUUUCUUUAAUGCUUGUGACCUUAUUUUCCUCUUUCUUCUGUUAGUAAGUUCAACGUUCAAGUGCUCUCAUGCAGCUGUUGGAAAGUCUGCAUGGGUAUGACUAACUGCAUUUAUUUAUAGAUGCCUUAUUAUUAUUAUUAUUGUUAUUAUUAUUAUUAUUAUUAUUAUGUGUAGUUCUUACCUUAGAUGCCACUUAAGGACUAUCAAAUGUUAUGUAGAAUUAGAGAAGUAUGUUUUGUCAUGUACUCACUCUAUCACUGAGCUACUAUAGGGAAUAAUCAGUACCAACACACUGGUUAAUGAAUGCCGUUGUUAAAAAACUUUUAUGGUGUGUAUAAACUAUAAAGGACUAGGUGCAAAAGUUUAUCCAGUCGAAUGAUCAGGAAUUUUCAAAAUAUCUUACAUUUACUGUGAUAAUGCUCCCUUGAAGAUGGAAAUGUUGGUGCUGUAUUUGUUUUUCUAGUUUGGAGCGUUUAGCUGAAUACACAUCAGAAUUCAAUAAUAUGCUUUCUAGUUUUUAGUACAUGUUGUCUGUCCGUUCUGACUAUGGCAAUGUCAGGUACCUAAAAAAAUCCAGGCCUUGUGAUGACUUGUACAUCUUCAAUACGUAUUUCUAUAGCAAACUUGAAGAAGCGUUAUCCAGGACGGUAUGCUCUUUGAUCUUACUUUGUUGUAUUUAGUUAAUUAUAUGAUGUUCAAUAUUACAUGCCCUUCCAAAUCCAUGGUUUGAAUUUAAUUGGUACAUGAGUUGUUAAGUGGAAGCUUCAUUGUUUCCAUACAGCGAUGCACACUAACACUUGUGAUUUUCUGCUGUAGUGCACUGCAUUCUCUCAUUGCAAAGUUAACACCCUGGUGUCAUUCAAUCCACAUUAUUAUUUUUUGUACUAAUUUUUCCAUGUUCUAUUUAUUUUCCGAAGCUUCUUUUCACCUUGUUGAUAAGGUUAGUAAAAUAUGGGGCGGAAAUGUGCAUGUAAAUUUAAUAGUUAUAUUUCUUUGUACUUUUUCUUGAGACAGUUAUUUGAAUUGCAAAGGUAUAUUCCCACUUUACGUUCCAGGAAAUUGUACAAAACCAUGGCGUUUAUUUGGAUGUUUAAUGUGUACUCCCUCCAUUCCUAAAUAUAAGUCUUUUUAGAGAUUCCACUACAAACUACAUACGGAUGUAUACAGACAUACUUUAAAAUGUAGGUUCACUCAUUUUGCUCUGUAUGUAGUCCGUAAUAAAAUCUCGUAUGUAGUCCGUAAUAAAAUCUCUAAAAAAGACUUAUACCCCCUUUGUACCAACUUUGUACUAAAGUUAGUAUAAAAUUGAGUCACUUAUUUUGGGACGGAGGGAGUAUUUAGGAACAGAGGGAGUAAAUUGCUGCAAUAUGCAUGGGUUUUCGGUUUUCAACACGAUAUGUUCCAGAAAGCUGGUUCAUAGAUGUUUAUCCGGAAACUAUCGUACUUCGCCAUUACACUUCCAUUUUGUAAAUUUCCAUUUGUUUAUUACCUUUUGCAUGUUGGGACUCUUCUUGACCCCCUCAAAGCUAACAUUUGAAAGUGCUGACUGACUUGUGGAUUUGUUCUAGGGUGAGUGUGACUCGCAGUUCAGCAAGUUAAGGCGAUGGUGGAAAAAUAUUGAUAUUUUUAGGAUACCAUACCUCCUUUUGCCAAUUCAUGGACAGUAAGUUUCUUAUUCGUUGGAUGAUACUGCAAGUUAAAACCGGACGUGCUUAUCUGCUACUCCCAAGAAUAUGUGAUUAGUUUGGUUGAUAUCUGACAUGAGGGUGUGUUUGUUGGUCAACAGAUAACGUUCUAGUGUAUCUAGUUAUCAUAUACUUAUAAGAUGGUGAUUGCCUCAUGUUCUGUAAAUUAGGAUGCAUUGGAGCUUGGUCAUUAUCUUCAUGCCUGCAAAAGAGAUAAAAUGCGGGCCAAGAGUGUUUCACUUGGACUCUCUAGGAAUACAUUGCAGUGACAAGGUUUUUGGUGUGAUUGAGAGGUAUGUUUCAUGAUACUAUGUGAAAAAUAGGUCUUGAUCCCAACCAUUUACAAUCCAUAUGAUUUAUUCAGGACUGGAGGGUGCUGUAGUGCUGUGUACUGUCCCUGUAGGGGAAUCUGUCAUGCUGAACAUGCCUUCUUUUAGUGUUCUGUCCAUGCUGUUGAAAUUGUAUGUUUUCGCAGCUACCUCGUAGAAGAAUGGCGCCAUCUACAGAAGGAUUCUUCUUAUGAUAUUCCCUUUUCAGGCAAAAUAUGGAGAAAUCUUUCAAGAAAUAUAAAUAAGGAAAAAGUCGAGGUAAGAACCGUAGUGUUUUCAGUGAUGUUCAAAGGGGCUGAUAUUUUUAUUUAUUUUUUCGGGUGCAAAAGUGGCUGAUUACUUAAGAAUAUAUGAACUUCUAAUCAUCGUGAAUUUAAUUACAAUGAACUUGCUGGCUUUACAGUACCUAUUCCUUCGCUGUGUUUUUUGUGCCAGUUUUCUGAAGCUACCCUUUGUUCACUUGCAAGGUUCCACAGCAGCAAAACGACUUUGACUGUGGUGUCUUUAUGCUUUACUACAUCGACAAGUUUAUUCAAGAGGAACCAGAUAGUUCGACAGGAGUGCGGCCUUUCAAGGUGUAUAUUUAACUGCUUCAUUAUUUUUAUCCAGUAUAAAAAUCAGGAGUCUUGACUUUUGUGCUCUUGCUGGUUUUUAGUUUGGACGCAAGUGGUUCAGCCCUGAAGAAGCUUCGGCGCUGCGGAAGCGAAUACGAGUUCUCCUGUUUGAGAUAUUUCAGAAUGCUCCACGGAAUGAUCGAAAUUUAGAGUCACAUGACGAUGAUCACUCGGAAGAUGAAGAAGAUAAGGUUAGGGAUACAAUCAUGAUCGUUUGAAUGUAACGGUGAAUGAAUGAAGUCAAGCAAUGGAAAGAUCACGGUGCAGUUUUGCAUCAGAACACUGUCUCUGAUGGCUGUAGAUGCGCUAAGGGUCCCAAUUUUGUGUAUAUGCUGUUUUGUGGACAAAGUUUGAAAGCUAUAACGAUGCAGCAAAGCUGACCGAUAUAUCUUAUAUUUUCGGUAUGCACAAAAUGAUUCUUGUUGCACUCUUUUUGACUUGCCCGUGGAAAUUACUCUCUUUGUUUCAAAAUACUCCCUCUUUAAUAUAAGGCGCAUUGGUUUUUAAAAGGUCAAACGUGUGCAUGUUUGACCAAGUUUUAAGGAAAAUACUACCUCCGUCCUAAAAUAAGUGACUCAAUUUUGUACUCCUUUUGUCUCAAAAUUCUUGUCUUAAGUUUAUUUAGAAAUUAAUGUUUCUAAAUAUUAAAACGUGACUAGAUACAUUCAUAUCUAGUCAAAUCUAAGACAAGAAUUUUGGGUCGAAGGGAGUAUUAACUUUAGUAAAGUUGAGUCACUUAUUUUGAGAUUGAGGAGUAUAUCAAUAGCUACAGUAUCAAAUUAGUUUUGUAUUCUUUAGAAAAUGCAUUUCCAUACUACAUAUAUUUGAUAGCGUAGAUCUUGGUACAUUUUUCUGUAGACUUGGCGAAACUUUGAACAAAACCUAAACUUUAAUUAAUUUGGAAUGGAGCUAUACAUCUUGUGUUGUCUGGAAGGAUGAAGAACAAUGUGUAGGCACAAAAUGUGCCCAUACAUAGUAAGGCCCUGCUUGGAUUAGCGUUUUCAUCCAUAUUAGGCUGGUUUAUACACGCCUGGACGGGUCGUUUUGUUUCCAGUAGGAAAAUCAGCAAUGUUGGGUAAUUUACACCUGUAAAACAAGUACAAGUACAUAAAUUUAUGAACUUACAUGAGCUGACUAUUAAAUUCAUAGUUUAUCCAGCUUUUGUAUACAAUUUCACUUUGUCCACUAGAUUUACUUUCAGAAGAUGUGUCAAAUGUCAAACUCAGACUUGUAAACAUUGCCACAAUAAAAAAAUGCUACUUUAGAAGUGAAAGAGACAAUUCCCCCUGGCCUUCCGGUAUUUCAAGAUUUAAUUCACCAUCAGUUAAAACUAAAUAUAAGCCAUGCGAUGUAGAAAGUUAUAUCAUUGUACAACCCAGAUUUUUUUAGUACAAACUAAAUGGUAUAAAACUUUCUGGCAUGUAACCCACAUUUAAUUGGUGGGCACAUUAUCAGCUGGGACAGAGUUGAUGCAGAUUUUUUUAAUACAAAAACAUUGAAUUUGAAAUAAAGGAUAUCUAGCUUAUACCAUUCGGCAGACUGUGACUGGCAUAUCCAAUGGAAAUUGAAUCGGUCGUUGUACGUUGAAAGACCGUCUGUAUUCGUUGAAAUGAUGUGGUGAGUCACUUUCCAUGAUGCAUUCAGAGCGAAGAAUUAUAAAGUGCAUUAGAUAAACGGCAACUGGUAUCUCAAAAUAAGGUUACUUCAAAUUUGCCAUGAAUAUCGUCACAGGGCAAUAAGAUGACUGGCACAGGAUGUCAUCAAAAGUUUUAAGCAGUGGAACUACAGAUUGCAUCAGCUAAAAUCAAAUGGUAUAGUCCACAAGGCAUGUAGCUAGUGUUAUUGGAAUCUGCCAGGGGAAGGCUAAACUGAAGGCUCUUGUAUGGUGACCCACCAUUCUUGUUAUAGAGGUGUUGCAAAACCUGAAAUUGCAAACCAGAGCAAAAAUGGGUCAGAACAAGAAUGCUAUCACAAGACAAAGAUAACUGGUGGAAGUCCCACCAUCACGCCUAUCUAUAUGAGUUGUGGAGAUCCAACAAAUCUGACCCGUUCAACCGCAUCUAUCCAACGGUCUACGUCGCUCCGGUGUUUAAACUUGAACAUGUUUAGCACCCUCCACUAACAAAUAUCAUGCCUAAUGUCAAUAGCAGCAUUAACCAAGUUAUUAUAUCCUACCUAAUAUUAACAUAUAAUUUAUAUAUUGCCUUUUAUUAAUGUGCAAUACAAUUAAUAGCUUGUCUAAUAUUAACGUCCAUUACACGUACACAAUUACUAGUUACAGAAGGCCAUCCAACUACCAAAGUGUUGAACCGGUAUGGCCCAGCCCAUACAAGUUAUCUCUUAGGGCCUAGGCCCAAGUAGUGAGACUAACCUAAAAGGAGGCUCCCAGCCAUCUCCCGUUCCUGAGACAGCCGCCACACACAAAACACUUGUGCUGGAGGUACUCCUCUCUCCCUCCCGUACUCCUCUCUCCCCCCGUUCCUACAUGGUAUCAGAGGCCAGCGAAGGCGGGGCCUGAGAAGACGACGGCGACGUCCGGCGAGGUGGCGGCAGAUCUGGGCGGCGUCCGGCAAGGCAGCGGCGGAUCUGGGAGGCGCGGCGUGGCUGCGCAGGAGGUGUGGCUCGUUGGAGAGGAAGGAGAGGUGGAGCUGCUGUGCUGCGCGGCAGAGGAAGAAGGAGAGGUGGAGCUGCUGUGCUGCGCGGCAGGAGGAGGAAGCUGAGGAGCGGCUUGGUCUCCAACGGGCUGUGGUGCUGCGGGAGGAGAAGAGGAGAAGGGUAGUGGAGAAGGGCAGCUCCUUGUUGUGCUGCUGUGUGUGCGUGUGUCUGCAGGGGACCGGGAGCUGGAGAACUGCUGCGGGGGUUGGCUGCUGUUGGAGGCCAAGAUCCUCUGGAACUGCUGCUGUUUGCAGAGGAAGGAGGAAGAGAACUGCUGCUGUUUGCAGAGGAAGGAGGAAGAGAAGUGCUGCUGUUUGCAGAGGAAGAAGGGAGAGAACUGCUGCUGGAGGAAGAGGCUGUGGUUGCUGCUUGCACUUGGAGCUGCUGAGUUGCUGGGUGCUGCUGCUAGCCAGGGGGCGUAAAGGGACCAACCGUGCAGCUGUAGGGCUGUGCUGCUGAGGGCUGCUGCUGCUGUUUACCGGAUCGGAGAUGACUGAACCAAAUGCGCUUGCUGAGGCUUUCGAGAAGCUCGCUAAGAUCCUCGCGGAGUCCAACUCCAACUCUGGGGCCAUCGUUCCUCGACAGGAAGUGGCUCAGAAGCUCGAAAUGUCACCCCUGGACAUGAAGCUAGAGGGGGCCACAAAUUAUUUGAGCUGGUCCAGAAGGGCAUUGCUGGCUGUGGAACAGAAGGAACUUGAUGGGCACUUAUUGGGUGCGGUUGAUGAACCCGGAGACAAGACUACCGCGGAGGGAAAGCGGUGGAAGGUCAUAAACUCUGUGCUUGUUGGCUGGUUGUUGAACUCAGUGGUGCCCUCCAUUGGUGGCUCUGUGGAGGGACUAUCCACGUCCGCCGAGAUAUGGAAGACUCUAUCCACCCAAUACUCAGGCAAGGGUAAUUUCAUGCUAAUUGCUCAGAUUGAGGGGAAGAUCAGUCGGCUGCGCCAAGGCGAUGACAUGUCAGUGAUGGCAUAUGUAGCAGAGCUGCGGGCUUUGUGGGCAGAGCAGGAUAACUGUGAUCCUCUGGAACUCUAUGAUGCGGCGUGCAUCGAGUCAGGGCGCAAGUGGAUUGCACGCAGGCGCGUGCUGAAACUGUUGGAAGGCCUCAGAGGUUGCUUUCAUGGCAGGGGGGCUUCCCUGUUGCACCAACCUCUCUUACCAACUAUUGAGGAGACUAUUGCAACAAUGUCUCAAGAGGAGGUGAGGCUAUCUCUUGCGCAUGCAAACGUGAAGUUUGUGCCGGCUUCGACAUUUGCAGUCACUGAGCGCAUGGAGUGGGGAGAUCCCAAUAGAUGUCAUAUUUGUGGGGAGGUAGGUCAUUGGAAGAGGGAAUGUCCAACUCGUGGUAGAGGCAGGGGAUACAACAGAGGGGGCACUGGCAGAGGAAGGUAUGCUCGAGGCAGAGGUGGAUACCCAUGGAACUCAGGGGGUCAACUUUCUAGGGGCAGAGGUGGCUACUCAGGAAACUCAGGGGACAGGGCGCAUAUGGUAGUUGAAGAGGACACUGGGACGUCACAGGGCAAGGGAGUUGAUGAGGCUGCCUAUGGAGACUUUGCUCACUGGGCCUCCACUGAUGAAGGUAAUUCGAUGAAGGCAUGUCUUCCUCCUAAUGAGAGUGCUUUAGAGUGGGUCUUAGACUCUGGAGCAUCUAAGCAUGUUGCGGGUAAUUCCUGUGUGUUUGAGUCUUACCAUAAGCAUGCUCCUACUCACAAGGGCACUAUACAAACUGCCGAUGGUACCAAUCAGCCUGUCGUAGGGGUUGGCACAGUCAAAUGCACUUCAGCCAUCUCAUUAUCGUCAGUUUUGCAUGUGCCAGCUUUUUCUGUCAAUUUGGUCUCUUUCAGUGCUCUCAUUGAUCAAAUAGACUGUCGUGUGAUCCUUGACAAGUUCGGUUGCUUGAUUCAGGAGCGACAGACGAGCCAGACGGUUGGGACUGGCACCAGGCGUAGGGGGCUCUGGUACAUGGACCAGGAGGUGCAACCGGACUUGGUGUGUGCUGCGACCAUGGAGGACAAGGAGAAGCAGGCGAUGAUCCAUCAUUGUAGAAUGGGUCAUGUAUCUUUUGAUAAGAUGAGUAGAAUCUUUCCGGAUGUUAUGUGUGGAAUAGGCAAGGGCAAGUUGACAUGUGAUGCUUGCGAAUAUGCAAAACACACACGAGCCUCAUAUGUGAGUAAGGGGCUUAGGAGCAUAUCUCCUUUUAUGCUCAUUCAUUCGGAUGUAUGGACUAGCCCAGUAGUGUCAAUGAAUGGAAAGAAGUAUUUUGUUACCUUUAUUGACUGCUAUUCUCGUAUGACUUGGAUUUACUUGAUGUGUCAGAAGGAUGAGGUGUUUAGCUGUUUUCAGAACUUCCAUGCUCUUGUAAAGAACCAGUUUCAGGUGCAGGUCAACGUGCUCAGGACUGACAAUGGUACAGAGUAUGUGAACAAUAUUUUUGGGGAUUUCAUGGCUAACCAAGGGAUUCUUCAUCAAACUUCAUGUCCGGACACCCCACCUCAGAAUGGAGUGGCCGAAAGGAAGAAUCGUCAUAUUCUUGAGGUUGCUCGGUCAUUAAUGUUUACCAUGAAUGUGCCUAAGUUCUUAUGGGAUGAAGCAGUUAUGACAGCCAUGUACCUGAUCAACCGGACACCUUCCAGGAUAUUAGGUAUGAAAUCUCCGUCUGAGUUGCUCAUUGGAGAUAAUAAGUUUGUUGUUUCCCCAAAGUUGUUUGGCAAUACUUGCUUUGUUCGUGAUCACCGACCAUCUGUUGGAAAGCUUGAUCCUCGGGCAGUGAAGUGUGUCUUCCUGGGAUACUCUUCUAGUCAGCAGGGGUAUAAAUGUUGGUCUCCCUCUGAAAAACGCAGGUUCGUGAGUAUGGAUGUUACCUUCAGGGAGUCCGAGCCAUUCUAUGGUACGCCGACUGAUCUCAGUCUGCUAUUUGCAGAGCUUGACCACCUACAUCAUGUGCACGAUGGUCAAGAGGGGGAGAAGGAUGUGUCUCAUACUCAGGGUGAUUCUGUGGGCAAUAACACUGCUAAGGAUGUGCAAGUUCAGGUCCAACCAAUAGUGGGAACAAUUCCGGUUAGUACUCUCACUGAUGAUGAUGUGCAGGUUCCUGUCGAGCCAACCGUCGAUACACUUAAGAUUGGUGCUCUUCGGGUUCCUGUUCGGGAUCGAUAGCAGACGAACACCCUAGUGUACUCUCGACGGCAACCACACGUGCAAGGGGAGCAGCAAGGCAGUGAGGCAAAAGUGCAGGGGGAGCAACAAGGCAAUGAGGCAAGAGUGCAGGGGGAGCAGCAAGAUAGUGAGACGAGCUCAUCUGACACAGUGGAGCUGCCCAUUGCAUUGCGAAAGGCUACACGUGAAGCGACAAGAAAGGGUGAAGUAGCAAGGAAGGCUCUACCGAAGGAUGAUGCUUGUGAUGAUCUUGAUAUUGGCAAUUUUGUGUCUUAUAAGGCUUUGUCACCCACAUAUAAGGCGUUUGUUGCCUCCCUUCAAACUGUGUCAAUUCCAAAGGAUUGGAAGGCUGCAAAGCAAGAUCCGAGGUGGCGUGAAGCGAUGAUAGAAGAGUUGGAAGCACUAAGGAAAAACAAGACAUGGGUGCUAACCACAUUGCCGGCAGAAAAGAAAGCAGUGAGUUGUAAGUGGAUCUAUACAGUGAAGCAGAAUCCUGAAGGGAAGGUGGAACGGUAUAAGGCCAGAUUGGUCGCCAGAGGAUAUAGUCAAACUUAUGGAAUUGACUAUGAUGAGACGUUUGCUCCCGUGGCAAAGAUGAACACAGUAAAGAUAUUGGUCUCCUGUGCUGCAAACUUUGGGUGGAAGUUGCAUCAAUUAGAUGUCAAGAAUGCCUUCUUGCAUGGUGAGUUGCAAGAAGAAGUGUACAUGGAAAUACCACCAGGUUUUGGUACUUCAGAGACUACGGGGAAGGUAUGCAGGCUGAAGAAAUCCUUGUAUGGACUAAAGCAAUCACCAAGGGCCUGGUUUGAUAGGUUCAGACGUGCUGUCCGUGGUAUGGGGUAUUGUCAGUGUAACGGUGACCAUACGAUGUUCUACAAGCACUCUGAUCGGAAGAUCACCAUUCUUGUUGUUUAUGUGGAUGACAUUAUCAUCACUGGAGAUGAUGAGGAGGAAAUAGAGAGAUUGAAGGGUUGUUUGAGCAAGGAGUUUGAGGUAAAGGAUUUGGGUAACCUAAAAUACUUUCUUGGCAUUGAAGUGGCUCGGACAGAGAAGGGAAUCUCUUUGUGCCAACGAAAAUACACCUUGGAUCUCUUGAGUGACGUGGGCAUGAUGGGAUGUCGUACUGCCCCUACUCCGAUUGAACAAAAUCACCAAGUGACAGCACAAUCAGGAGAGCUAGUGAAUAAGGAAGAGUAUCAGAAACUGGUUGGAAGGUUGUUGUACUUGUGUCAUACCAGGCCUGACAUUACGUAUGCUACGGGGGUGGUGAGCAGAUACAUGCAUGAACCAAGGAGUGGGCAUCUUGAUAUUGUGCACAGAAUCCUGAGAUACUUGAAGGGGACUCCGGGUAAAGGGUUGUGGUUUGGGAAGAGUGGACAUUUUGAGGUGGAUGGCUAUAGUGACUCUGACUGGGCCAGUUGUCAAGAUGAUAGAAGAUCAACUUCUGGUUACUCGUGUUUGUGGGAGGAAAUUUGGUAUCAUGGAGAAGCAAGAAACAACCGGUUGUGUCUAGAUCAACAGCAGAAGCUGAGUAUAGAGCAUUAUCUCAAGGGUUGUGUGAGAUGCUCUGGGUGAAGUACCUACUGAGCGAGUUGAAACUUCUGAGGAAGGGGCCCUUGAAGGUGUGGUGUGACAAUCAGUCAGCUAUAGCCAUCGCUAAUAACCCAGUUCAACAUGAUAGGACAAAGCAUGUGGAAAUUGAUCGGUUCUUCAUUAAGGAGAAGCUUGAUGCCGGGGUCAUCAGCCUUACUCAUGUCAGUUCUGGGCAGCAGUUUGCAGAUUGUUUGACAAAGGGUUUGGGAACAAAGGAUUGUAACUUGGCAUGUGACAAGAUGGGAAUGAUAGAUAUCUACCACCCAUCUUGAGGGGGAGUGUUGAACCGGUAUGGCCCAGCCCAUACAAGUUAUCUCUUAGGGCCCAGGCCCAUGUAGUGGGACUAACCUAAAAGGAGGCUCCCAGCCAUCUCCCGUUCCUGAGACAGCCGCCACACACAAAACACUUGUGCUGGAGGUACUCCUCUCUCCCUCCCGUACUCCUCUCUCCCCCAGUUCCUACACAAAGUAUAGUGGUAAAGGAUGGCUUUUAGUGAAAGGCGAGGUUUUCGAGUCGACAAGUCGUUCUGGGGUAGCGACUCUUGACAAGUCGACCCUGCAGUUGCGAGUCAUCGACCAGUCAACAUGGUGAUUCGACCUUGCAGUUGCGACUCGUAGACUAGUCGUUCGACUAAAAAACAGUGGUGAAAGGUAUUGGCAGGUGUACAAGCAACAUAAAAUUCGUGAAUGUUUCAGCAGCAGAGAUAGUAUCAAGAUGCUCCAUACGAUAUCAUGUAUCAAUAGAAUAUGCCAGUAUAUCCAUUUGGUAAGGACAUAAAUUCUUCAAGUGAUCAAGUGAACCAAAAUAAGCAAGAUGCAACAUUAUUGAGAGUCUAUAACAAAUUAAGCUAGCUUGCAAAACGAUCUUAUAUUAUUGGGACGGAGGGAGUAUUUUGGUACAAGGGCUACAUACACCUUGCCUACAACAUUUGGUUGUAUAUGCCAUUACCGUCUUUUGGGUUGUCAGUUUGUAUACACUAUAUGCCCCAUAACCUAUGUGCCUUGCCAUGGUACUGUAAAGUACAUUAAUGGAUGAUCAAGCUAUUUGACCUGAUCCGAAUUAUAAUAAAAGAUGAAAUCAACGAAGCAAGAGGAACACAUAACAUUUUUCCAAAAGGAAAAAAGCAGUUAACAAAAUGCUUACAGACAGAAAAUGGACAGGCCAUACUAUAGUUGUGCUUGCUAAGAGUAAGGAGCUCAAGUAAGGAAUAUAACAAUUAGAUACUUUCAAGGUUUGUACAGUACUUCAUUAAAUGUUGUUGAUAGGAAGCCAAAAAAGCAAAGCCCAACACAAACAAUAAAAUUCAGUUAAGGACUUAAGGUACAUACUACAUAGGGACAUCCGGACAUGCAUUCUGUGUUGGGUCACUUUGAUUAUCCUAAUCACGAAAGCAAGCAAGAACAACAAUAAAGUAGUGAAUGCCAUCCAUUAACCGCAAAACAGGACAAACCAAACAAUAUUAGAUUGAAACUGAGGCACACACUAGCCACUAGCUUCCCACUACAACCAUUCUACCUCAGGCAUUGCUAUGUUCAUAUUUGAAGUGCACCUGAUUUUCAGUCUGGUCUUGAAUAGCCGCCAUCUCAAUCAUGGGAAUGCAGAUAUACCAAAAAGUUCAAAACUAACAAAGCACUAUUGUGUUUAAAGAUACAUCAAACUUCAAACCUAAUAGAAAGGAGAACAAAAAUCUAAAUCUGACAUAAUUCACUAGAUGACUAUAGUUCAUUUUUUGAACUUUUAACAUUUCCACGCCUUAUCCAUGUAAGGAGACCCAGCAAGCCAAAUUAAGCCAUUUUACCUUCGGAGAGCCAGCCCCAAGACCCGGGCUUAAGACCGAGCAUGGAGGUGAGCAGCGCUGAUGCCGUCGCGCUGUGCAGCGGCAUCAGCCCCUGCACGCCGCCUAGAGCCGCCACCGGCACCCUGCACAACGAAGGCCGCGCCAAAUCUGAGCAAACCAUACUGCCCAAGUACGGCCAAUCCGAGGAAAAGAAACACCGAGGUGCCUACCUCGAGAUCGCGAGGCGCCGGCGCGGGGCGCGCGGCAGAGCGGAGGCCCCCAGCUCCGGGGACUGGGCAACUGCCGGCCUGGAAAACGCCCUGGAGAGAGUAGAUGGAGAAGCGGAGCGCAGCCCCGCGAGAGCUCGCCGCGCGCCGCCAGCCGCCGUCGCCAUGGCUGGAGUGGGUUUGGGCUCUAAAACCCUGGUCGUUGCCCUUUUGGGCUUCUUUUACCGUUUGGACGCCGAGGGCCUGCGAGACCUGAGUCGCCGAGGGCUCAGGUACGGUGGACGUUUCUCAACAAAAUAAAAAAGGUACGGUGGACGGGGUCUAUACGACUGAGCUGUGCCACGUUUGGUGGACUAGCUUUUUGUUUUUAAACACGGUAUACAAUCAAAGUUGUUCACCUACGCAAGCAUACAUUUCUUUUUAUAAUCGUACACACAUAUUUGGUUGACAUAUUCUCAAGAUCGAUCAAGGUGUCACAUAUGACAUCAUAGAAACAUGUACUCGGCUGACAUAUUCUCAAGAUUGAUCAAGCUGUCACAUACUACAUCAUAGAAACGUCUUUUCCAUUGAACACACAUCGUUAUAAGGUUUGAAAUAAAUCCAUAAAAAUGUGAACAUCAAUGUAAGUAUGAGGCUUGAAUUCUGGUGGACUGAGCAUUGUCCUCCUAACUUUCCAACCACAGGUUGGUUUACAUCAGUUUUUUCUUUCGAAAACAUUACAAAAAUAACUUUGGAUUUUUAGGCACGACAAAUCUGAUGUUUUUCAUGACAAUUUAUAUUAACAUGAUGAUGAUAAAUUUAGUUUGCAAGUAUGAUAAUUUUCUGACAAAAAUACACUGAGACGGAUUUGCCAUACUUUCUAACUGAACUUGCCAUCCUCGAAGAAUAUACAUAAUUUGCCAUGGAAAAUGUUCAAUUUUGCCAUGGUCAAAAAUUUGACGAGCGAAGUACUUUUGUAAGAAAAUGCCCUUGGGCGCUCUUUAUUAACUUCAAAUAACAUUUACAUCAAAAAAGAUGUAUGGAAUAGUAAAACUAGGUGAGUCAUCAUCCACUAGUAGAAAACAAGGCUUUGGUCCACGUGAGAAAAGAGCUUCAAUCCCGGUUCUAUUACAAACCGGGACCAAUGGGUGCACGAGUCCCGGUUCGUGAGCCCAGGACACCAGCUGGGCCAGGGUCUCGGUUCGUCUGACCGCUUUGGUCCCGGUUCCACAUACGAACCGAUACCAAUGGUCCUGCCCCCUGGCGCAGCACCUUUAGUCCCGGUUCGUGUCUAGAACCGGGAUAAAAGGUGAGUCUUAUGUCCCGGUUCAAUUUCAGGGUCAUUUAGCUCAAAGUAAUAAGUAAAUUCAUGAAAAAUACCUAAUGAAGUCACAAAGGAUUGAAAAUUGAUGAUGUGGCUUUGAAUGGUGCAUGUUGAACGCACAAAAAGUGUGGAGUUGAAAUAAGUUCAAGAACAUGAAAUCCCUUUUGUAACAGAUGAGUUUUCGUUUGAAACCGUGAUACUUCGAAAUAUAUUGUCCAUUUUGUACACGAAGUGCAUCCAGUUUUUGUCGUAACCCUCUCAACUUUUUAGCACAUGCUAUAUGGGUGAAAUGAUUAUACCAUGCCAACUUUCAACCUAUUUAGAGUUCAUCUGUAGUGUUUUUCAAUUUCAGGGUCUUUUAGCUCAAAAUAACCGAUAAAUGCAUGAAAAAUACCUAAUGAAGUCAGAAAGGGUUGAAAAUUGAUGAUGUGACUUUGAAUGAUGCAUGUUGAACGCGCAAAAAUUGUAGAGUUGAAAUAAGUUCAAAACAUGAAAUCCCUUUGUAACACAUGAGUUUUCGUCCGAACCCCUCAUACUUCAAAAGUGAUUGGCCAUUUUGUACACAAAGUGCAUCCAGCUUUUAUUGUAACCCUCUUGACUUUUUAACACAUGCUAUAUGGGUAAAAUGAUGAUACCAUGCCAACUUUCAACAUAUUCAGAGUUUAUUUGUAGUGGUUUUCAAUUUCAGAGUCAUUCACCUCAAAAUAAUCAGUAAAUGCAUAAAAAAUACCUAAUGAAGUCAGAAAGGGUUAAAAAUUGAUGAUGUGGCUUUGAAUGGUGCAUGUUGAACGCACAAAAAGUCUGGAGUUGAAAUAAGUUCAAAAACAUAAAAUCCCAUUAUAACAGAUUAAUUUUCGUCCAAAACCGUGAUACUUCGAAAGAGAUUGUCCAUUUUAUACACGAAGUGCAUCCAGGUUUUGCCGUAACCCUCUCAAAUUUUUAGCGCAUGCUAUGUGGAUGAAAUUAGGGCUGGACACGAGCCGAGCUUGAUCCGAGCCUGGCUUUGGCUUGCUCUAGAGCGGCUCGGCUUGGCUCGCUCAACCAACGAGCCUACUUCACGCGACUCGACUCGUUUGGGGUAUGGCUCGGCUGAGACCGAGCCGACUCGUUAGCCAUUCGCCCACAAAACCUUUUUACUUACAGAACCUAUGUACGUAUAUAGUCAACAGUUUGUAUUUUUUACAGCAAUUAAACCCAUAUUUUUGAAAAUAAACAGUUUCUAUUGCUAAAAAUGAAACAUCCAGUAGUCUACUGUUUUGAAAAAUGGUCAUAGUAAUGAAAAACAAGCUUUAUUCCACGAAUUCUUCUACGAAAAUUGUAACAAUAUAACGAUAUGAGAGAGAAUUGGGCAGCAUUUUUAUUGAAUUUUGUGCUGCACUUCCUUUGAACUUUUCACAUCAAGGCAUCAACUAUUGACAGCCAAACAAAGAAAUUUUGCAUAGCAUAACACUUACCACUUUAAUAUAAAAGAUGAGAAAAUGUUGAUAGCCAAACAAUGACUAGUGAAAACCACAUAAUACAAAGUUCAUAGUUCAUUACAAGUUCACAACAACAUCAUUUAAGGUACAUAGUUCAUCACAACAAACACAUAAUUCGAAGUUCAUCACAACAUCAUUUAAGGUACAUAGUUCAUCACAACAAACACAUAAUUCGAAGUUCAUCACAACAAAGGAAAUGGCACGACACGAUCACAUUGACCUCAACAAUCCACCUCACGAAUGUCUACAUGUAACAAAUAUUUGUAAACAUAUUAGGAUCAUGUAAAGAUAUGAAAGUUGAAACAUGUCGAAAGAAUAGUUAACAUUUGUUGUUAUCCCCCACAUCAACAAUCUUGGGCAACUUGAUAUUUUCAACAUCAUCCUCCUCAUCUUCAUCCCUCUCCUAAUUAUUUGGAGGUUAGCCACAUACGAUAAAUAGACAGAAACCAUAGAAGAAAAAGAUAGGAACCAUACCACCAGAUUGAAAUCCUUGUGAGAACCUUUGUUAUAACUAGCACCGCGCACCAAGGCUUCCACCAUUUCUGGUUUCAAAGAACCCAUGUAGUCAUCUAAAACCACACAAGUAGACAUAUCUAAGUUCAAGGAUAGGUUGCCAAGUUCACAAGUUAGCAUCAAAGUAACAAGUAGACAUACAUAAAACUCUUCCAUCCAUGCUAAACGUUGAAUCCAAGGACAUAGAGGUAGUCGGGACAGUCAAGAACCUCGUUGCCAUCAUUGCCAAUACGGGGUAUCUAGGUGCAUUCACCAUCCACCAAUCAAGAAGAUUGAACUUAGGAUCCAUUGCCUCAUUCAAGUCAUCUAGAUAGUUUCUAAGCUCAUUUUUUUAUGGUGUUGAUUAAGUGGCUGAUAAGAAGGACUGAAACUCACAAUCCAUAAGUGGCAUUGAGGUACUUCCAUUGCAAUUGUUCUUGGCUGAUGAUCCACUAGCUCUUCCUUCAGCUUGCUUAUUUUUGGCAACAAACUUCUCAUACAAUGUGUCCAACUCUGCGCGCACAAUAUCCUUCUCGGUAUUUUCUUUCCCCACAUCAUACAUUUGGUGAUAGCACCACUCAAUCUACCUCAUCUUGUACCUUGGAUCCAAGAUCGUAGCAAGCACCAUUACAUUGUUUGGCUCAUCCCAGUACUUAUCAAAUUUAUCCAUCACCGCAUCACCCAUUUUCUUGUAGCAUUCAUCAUCAUGAGCCAUGGCUUUUCUCAGAGCAAUCUUGAUGCUCACAAUGUGUGGGUAGAAUAUGUUGGAGGUGGGAUAUAAUUGCCCUGAAAACGCAGUGGUCACACGAGACAUUGAGGCGGGGGUUUCUCUUUAGCCUAUAUAACAACUCAGCGAUUGGGACAUUGCUGGAAUCAUUUGCCAGCUUCCUUGGCAGCCGCAUAGUAACUGCUGCAUUGCCCUUCCCCUUCCCCUUUUGCAUCCCUGAGACCGACAACUUAGUCUUCAUAAUAGAGUCCAAGGUCCUCUCUUUCUCCUUCUCCUUCCCAUUCGUCUUUCCCUUUUCCUUGUCCAUUGUUGUGACGAUAGGACUCUGCACACAUCAGCAAACAACAAACGGUCAAUCAUCAACAUGGUAAACUAAUUACACAUGAAAUCAAUGUAAUUUUCCCAACAAGUAGAUUUUUUCAAGCUGCUAUGCUACAUCAAGUAGAUCAACGACAGCAGAAAAUUUAUUACACAUGGAAUCAAUGAAAUUUUUGAUCUAUACAUCCAUUCUGCUCUACAACUCCAUCCAUCCAUACGGCUCUGCUACAUCUAGCACUAGCUACAAUACAUCCAUCCAUGAUCCAUCCAUCUAGACCUACAUGUACAUGACCUCAUCCAUCGAUCCAACCAUCCAUCCAUCAGAUGCGUCCUAGUUAGACACCUAGGGCUAGCGUCAACACAUGCAGCAAUCCAUCCAUCCAUUGAUCCAACACAUACGUACUAGUUCAGAGAGCUGCGAUAGGAUUGGGAAGGAAGGAUGUACCUGCUCCUGCUCAUCACGUUCGGCGAGGAACCACGGAAGGCGCGUCCGUCUGUGUCCGGUGCGGCGAGGAAAGAUGGCGUCACCGGUAGAUGUCGGUGUGGCGAGGAAACGCCACGUCACUCGUUGUCGUCGAUCCAGUUUUGUGGCGUCGUGAGGGCAUGUACAAUGCAUAGCCUCAGGGUGGUUCCUCGUAUGCCAUGUAGGAUCGGAUGUCGGAAAAAGUAGGUUCGGAUGAGGAAGCGGGAUCCUUUGUAGGAGGCGGGUGCUUGAAGAGAAAAAGUGUGGUCCGGUGUAAAAAGCUGAAAAAGUUGGAGUGAAAAGUAGAGAUGCAUGUGUAUUAGUCUUUAUUUUCUAUUUUUUUUAUGAGGCCCACUAAUGAUAGCUUGUAUUGGAAAGAAAAAAUCAAUAUAGAUGCCUCAAGUUACUUUUUGUCAUGGGGCAUCUGUAUCCAUAUGCCACCAUUGUACAUGCCCUGAGAGAGGGGCGAGGGCGUGGAGGCGCAGAGCAGGUAAACUGGGAAAGGGAUAGACUGGCGGCCGGUGUGGCUCUCGUUCGCGAAACGUGACCUAAUUCCCUCGCGAUUGGGAUGAAAGAUGAAUUGGGCUGGGCCACAAGCGAGUCACCGAGCUGGACUGGCCCAAACUCGGCUUGGCUCGGUCGCGAAUCGGGCCUCUUUUCAGAACUCGGCCCGCUCAAUUAUUCUACCGAGCCGGGUUGUAUCGGGCCGAGCUGCAACAAGGUUCGGGCCGAGCUGAAAAGCUCGUUCGUACAUCCAGUCCUAGGUGAAAUGAUGAUAUCAUACCAAUUUUCAACCUAUUUAGAAUUCAUUUGUAGUGUUUUUCAAUUUCAAAGUUAUUUAGCUCAAAAUAAUCAGUAAAUGCAUGAAAAAUACCUAAUGAAGUCAGAAAGGGUUGAAAAUUGAUGAUGUGGCUUUGAAUGGUGCAUGUUGAACGCACAAAAAGUCUGGAGUUGAAAUAAGUUUAGAAAAAUGAAAUCCCUUUGUAACACAUGAGUUUUCGUCCGAAAUCGUGAUACUUCGAAAGAGAUUGUCCAUUUUGUACACGAAGUGCAUCUAGUUUUUGUUGUCACCUUAACAACUUUUUGGCACAUGCUAUGUGGGUGAAAUGAUGAUACCGUGCCAACUUUCAACCUAUUUAGAGUUCAUUUGUAGUGCUUUUCAAUUUCAAGGUCAUUUAGCUCAAAAUAAUCAGUAAAUUCAUGAAAAAUACCUAAUGAAGUCAAAAAGGGUUGAAAAUUGAUGAUGUGGCUUUGAAUGAUGCAUGUUUAACUCACAAAAAGUCUGGAGUUGAAAUAAGUUAAAAAACAUGAAAUCCCUUUGUAAGAGAUGAGUUUUCGUCCCAAACCAUGAUACUUCGAAAGAGAUUGUUCAUUUUGUAUAUGAAGUGCAUCCAGUUUUUGUCGUAACCCUCUUAACUUUUUAGAACAUGCUGUGUGGGUGAAAUGAUGAUACCAUGCCACCUUUCAACCUAUUGAGAGUUAAUUUCUAGUACUUUUCAAUUUCACGGUCAUUUAGCACAAAAUAAUCAGUAAAUGCAUGGAAAAUACCUAACGAAGUCAGAAGGGUUGAAAAUUGAUGAUGUGGCUUUAAAUGGUGCAUGUUGAAUGCACAAAAAGUCUGGAGUUAAAAUAAGUUCAAAAACAUGAAAUCCCUUUGUAACACAUGAGUUUUCGUGCGAAACCGUGAUAUUCUAAAAGAGAUUGUCCAUUUUGUACACGAAGUGCAUUCAGUUAUUGUCGUAAUCCCUCUCAACUUUUUAACACAUGCUAUGUGGGUGAAAUGGUGAUACCAUACCAACUUUCAACCUAUUCAGAGUUCAUUUUUAGUGUUUUUUAAUUUCAUGGUCAUUUAGCUCAAAAUAAUUACUAAAUGCAUGAAAAAUACCUAAUGAAGUUAGAAAUGGUUGAAAAUUGAUGAUCUGGCUUUUAAUGUUGCAUGUUGAAUGCACAAAAAGUCUGGAGUUGAAAUCAGUAAAAAACAUAAAAUCCCUUUGUAACAGAUGAGUUUUCGUGUGAAACCUUGAUACUUCGAAAGAGAUUGUCCAUUUUAUACACGAAGUGCAUCCAACUUUUGUCGUAACUUUCUCAAUUUUUUAGCACAUGCUAUGUGGGUUAAAUGAAGAUAUCAUGCCAACUUUCAACCUAUUGAUAGUUUAUUUGUAGUGCUUUUCAAUUUCAGGCUCAUUUAGCUUAAAAUAAUCAGUAAAUGCAUGAAAAAUAUCAAAUGAAGUCAUAAAGGGUUGAACUAAAAAGAAUGAACUAAAAAAAUCAAAAAAAAUAUUAAGUAAAAUUAUGAAAGUAUUUAUUUGUUAAAAAGAAUGAACUAAAAAGAAUCAUUAAAAUAUUAACUAAAAAGAAUCAACUAAAACAUUAACUCAAAAGAAUGAACUAAAAAGAAUCAACUAAAAUAUUAACUAAAAUUAUGAAAGUAUUUAUUUGUUAAAAAGAAUGAACUAAAAAGAAUCAAGUAAAGCAUUAACUAAAAAGAACCAAAAAUAUUAACUAAAAUUAUCAAAGUAUUUAUUUGUUAAAAAGAAUGAACUAAAAAGAAUCAACUAAAAAGAAUCAACUAAAAAGAAUGAACUAAAACAUUAACUAAAAAGAAUCAACUAAAAUAUUAACUAAAAUUAUCAAAGUAUUUAUUUGUUAAAAAGAAUGAACUAAAAAGAAUCAAGUAAACCAUUAGCUAAAAAGAAUGAACUAAAAAGAAUUAAAAAUUCAACUAAAAAGAAUUUUCAUAAAGUUUUUUUUGUUAAAAUCUUUAAUAGCAAACUUAAAUAACAGAAAAAUGCCUCCUAAUGGGCCACCACGGCGUGCAUACGACUAGAAACCCUACACGCUAGUUGGGCCAGGAUGCAGACCCGCAACAGGCCCAGUAGGCCCACACGCAGAGAGAGUGCUUUUAGGCCCGUUGACCUGCAUAAGAGAGGAGCUCAAGAGGGCUCGCGAAGCCGCGCUUAUAAACCACCGUGGAUGCUUCUCACCUAGCGAGGUGGGACUAAACAUCCACGCGCCCGACGCCAUGCCAGCCGCAGGAGUUUAGUCCCAUUUGGUGGCCUCAACGGGGACUAAAUGCCCCAUUUAGUCUCGGUUGUAGCCACCAACCUGAACUAAAGGCCUGCGGUUCCCGCCCUUUGCGCUCCUGAGAACGAGCUUUAGUCCUGGUUGGUGGCUGCAAGCGGGACUAAAGGGACUAAAGGUGGGGCUAUAUAAGCGGGACUUUGAAGUUGUCCCAAAUCCACUCCCGCUUUCUUCGAUCUCCUCCUCUCCCCCGACGGCGUUGAGAUGACAUCGACGCCGCGAGGCUACCAGACCUUGUCGUCACCUCCCCGAGGCCUGCCCCGAUGUCGUCCCCCGCUACCCUCGCUGGGCCCGCCCUACCCCGAUGCCGCCGUCGUUGUGUGCCCUGACAUAGCCGUCGUCGUGCCCUGCCCCAACGUCGUCGUCGCCGCGCCCUGCCCCGAUGUCGCCCCGUGCGCUCCCCUCAUCGUCGACCGGCCCCUCCAUCUCCAUCGCUCGCCGGCCCCAAUGAGCUCCUCCAUCUCCAUCGCUCCCUGCGGGCUUUCCUCAAUGCCUUGUAGGACUUUAAAUAGUUGUAGAAAUUGUUCUCGAUGUCGACGAUGCCCGUCACGCAUCCUCGUCGUCGACUCGGUGGUGACAACCUACUUGAGAGGCGUCAGCAUGUCCGGGACUGGGCUCCGUCGGGCUGGCACUGGGAGGUGCUACCUUCUAGGGCACGCAUCUUAGUGAGGAACGAGGCUCCCGUCGUCGACCAGAGCUUAUUUGGUGGCGGUCGCGUGGGACACUUUCAUUACGGAGGCAGCCGGCCUCCUAGGAGGAGGUACUUCGCCGUGUUAGGGAGGAGGACGAGCACGUCCGUUGCUACUUGGUUGCAUUGGACGCCAGGUUCUCCAAUACCUGGCAGGUUCUUCAGGGAUCUCACCCGAGCUAUUAUCCUGUGAUGGUUCCUUCUUUGUGGAUGUUCACCUCCCGCGCCUCAGUACAACGACAACUCUUUGGGUGAUCAGUUUGAUGAGGAACCAUGAGUGAACUAGAUUAUACUACCAGAGAUGUAUUCGAGAUUAUAUUCGAUAAUAUUCGAGAUGUAUUAAGUUGAUUAUUGGUUUUAACUCAAAGAUAAUCUUUUUGCCUCUUGAGAUAUAUUGCACACAAGCGCUUUUGACUUUGUUGCUAGAAAAAAUUAAGCUUUUUAGUGUCGGCAGGUCCAUCACUGCAUGAUUUUUGUCUUUUUGUUGUUGUAGCCUUUAGGAUAGGUUUUUAUUUGUCCAAUGUCCGUGAUUUUUAAUCUUAUAUAGAAUUAUGAACAUAGGAAAUGACGUGGUCCGAUGAUGAUAAGAUCCCUGCAUGCCAUUUGUGCUGGGAUGAUAGGGGUAUAUGUGAUCGUUAUCCUCACCUAUAUAAUGAUAUGCCCUUUACCGUCAAGCUGACGGAUGACUUCCCGAUUAUUACGGUAUGUAUAGACGACAUGUAUUUUUUGUUAGUCAAGUAUGACGUGUUUUUUUUUGCUUUAGUUAACCUUUAAUUUUGUUUUGUACAAUUCGACUAGUGCAUUCCGUGCUAUGCAAGAUUUGUUGUCUUGGACAAGUUUCAUUUUAAAGAGAAGGACAAUACAAAGCCUAAGAUAGCUCACAUAAGAACAAAGCAUUUCACUUUUGUUGUCAAGGUAAAAAAUGAUGAAGAUCACACAUAUUUUGGUUGUUCUAAUUGGAGAGCAUUUUGCAAGGCAUAUGGGUUGAAUGAGGACAUGAACAUUACCUUCGAUCUUGGUAAUGAUGAUGUUCGUGAUAAUAAUAUAGAAAUUUGGGUGCAUGCGAAGGAUGACUUGAUUCCAGUUCUAUCUCCACGUGAGUUUUGUCAACAGAUUUGUUAGGUAAUUUAUAUUGAUUAUUGAAAAGUAUCUUGUACUCAUCCCGAUUAAAUUUCUUUAUUUUCAAUUAUUAGCUUAAUUCCAUGCUACAACAACUACAUGGGAGAUAGUAGAUCGGACCUACUACAAUUAUGGCUCCAACCUUACUUGGUUGGAGAAAAAUCAUCUCAUCUCAUUUAUUCAUGAUGUUGACAAUCAUGCUAAAAAUUACAUGACUCGCAACGUUUAUCAUGAAUAUGUGCCACUAGUGCACCAGUUGAGCCCUUAUAACAUCACUUCAGACAACUUUCCAAAAAAAAUAUACCAUUGCGUCACUAAUCCAUCUUUUUUAUACAUUGUUCUUAAGCAAAACUAGUUUGCUAACUAUAUUAUUACUACAAACAGGUACUCCCGCCAGAGAUCGUGCCUAAAUGUAUGUUUACCACCGUUGAUUUAGAAAUGGUUAGCUUAUGGCCAACCCCGAUUAAUUACCGUGGUAAAUACAGGAUAGCUCAAAGUGAAGACAUUCUGAAAAUCAAAGGAUGGAGAAAUGCAAUACAAGCAUCCAUGAUACCAUUUGGAGAGCAAUCCUUGUGCAUCCCACAAGUUGGAGAUAUUUUAAUCUGUGCUCUUCAAUACGGAGAUGUCAGAGUUCGCCUUUAUUUUGCUUUUUUACGUUGGAGAGGGUAGUAGUUAGUGUUUCAACCUUGUGAUAACUUUGUCAUUUUCCACUAUAAUAACAACCAGAAUGAUGAGGAGUUCAUCUUUUUAUGCUAUUUUACCUAGAAUGAUGAAUAGUUUUUUAACUAGUAUGUACAAUGAUGAGGAGUAAUAUACGAUGUCAUGUAAUGCUUUAUGUACGUACUAGCUAGCGUCUAGUUGACAUCGACCGAAAACACCAACAAGCAUAAGGAACCAAAGAUGAUGGACACAAAAAUAAAAAGGGGAAACACAAUAUGAAACCCCUAAUAAAACCCUCCAAAACCCCUAACCCCCCUUCCUUUAAAAAAAAUGCAACGCGUGGCUGCCUUUGGAUCCCGGUUGGUAUUACCAACCGGGACUAAAGGUCCUCCUGCCCGCAGCGGCCACGUGGAGCUCAUUUGGGUCUGGUUCGUAAGCCCAUCGGGACUAAAGGUUUGGGCCUUUAGUCCCAAUGGCUUUGUCCCGGUUGAAGAACCAGGACUAAAUGCCUUGUGAAACUGGGACUAAUGGCCCUUUUCCUACUAGUGGUCCCAACCGGUAACUAAGUUUGAAUCAUAGACUCAUCUAGAAAGAUGGUUCCUGCCAAGGUGAUGUGGUAUGCUCCUAUAAUACCAUAGUUGAAACGUUUGUUCAGAAACAAAAAAGCAUGCCGAGUUGAUGCAAUGGCACAUAAAAGACCGUAAGAAAGACGGGAAGUUGAGAGCACCCGUUGACGGGUCAUAGUGGAGAAAGAUCGAGAGGAAGUGGAGCGACUUUACACGUUACCCAAGGAACGUAUGGUUUGGUUUAAGUGCAGAUGGCGUUAAUCCUUUUGGGGAGCAGAGCAGCAAGCAUAGCACAUGGCCUGUGACUCUAUGUAUGUAUAACCUUCCUCCUUGGUUGUGCAUGAAGCAGAAGUUCAUUAUGAUGCCAGUGCUCAUCCAAGGCCCUAGGCAACCCGACAAUGACAUUGAUGUGUACCUAAGGCCAUUAGUUGAUGAACUUUUAUAGCUAUGGAAUGGAAAUGGUGUACGUUUGUGGGAUGAGAACGAACAGGAGGAAUUUGACCUACAUGUGUUGCUGUUUGUAACCAUCAACUAUUGGCCUGCUCUCAGUAACAUUUCAGGACUGACAAACAAGGGAUAAAACACAUGCACACACUGUUUAGAUGACACCGACAGUAUAUAUUUGGACAAAUGCAGGAAGAACGUGUACAUGGGGCAUCGUCGAUUUCUUUCGACCAACCAUCAAUGUCGAAAGAAAGGAAAGCAUUUCAAAGGUGAGGCAGAUCACUCGAAGAAGCCCACCCUCUGUACCGGUGAUCACAUACUUGAUAUGGUCAAUGAUUUACAAGUAAUCUUUGGAAAGGGUCCUGGCGGACUAUGUGUUCCGAAUGACGAUGCGGGACACGCACCCAUGUGGAAGAAGAAAUCUAUAUUUUGGGACCUACCCUAUUGGAAAGACCUAGAGGUCCGCUCGAGCUUGACCACCCUACAGGUGAAGAUGAGAAUAAGUUGGUUCAUGCUUUGAGGAGUACAUGUUUAUGGCCGAAGGAGUACAUCAAGCUUCCAAACUGGACGCCUCCUCCUCCUCCGACGACGAAUGAUUAGGGCACUCCUCAUCCUCCUCCGGUGACUGAUCAGGGCACUCCUCAUCCUCCUCCGGCGAAUGAUCCGGGCACUACGGCCCCUCCGACGCAUGAGGGCACUCCGCCUUCUUCUUCGGCUCCUCCUCCGGCACGUGAUGGCACUCUGCCUCCUCCUUCGACUCCUCCUCCGAUGCGUCGGAGCAGUCCGCCUCCUUCUUCCGCUCCUCCUCCGGCGCGUGAGGGCACUCCGCCUCCUUCUUCGACUCCUCCUCCGGCGCGUCGGAGCAGUCCGCCUCCUACUUCGUCUCCUCCUCCGGCGCGUCGGAGCACUCCGCCUCCUUCUUCGGCUCCUCCUCCAGCGCGUCGGAGCAGUCCUCCUCCUUUGGCUCCUCCUCAGGCGCGUCAUAGCAGUCCUCCUCCUUCGGCUCCUCCUCAGGGGUGUCGAAGCAGUCCUCCUCCUUUGGCUCCUCCUGAGGCGCGUCGGAGCAGUCCGCCUCCUCCGCAACAGCGGAAGACAGACGUCGUCGCCUCUCCGCCGAAAAUUACACAAGUAAGAAAGAUGCCGCCUCCUCCUGCUUCUCUCAAGCGGAAGACAGACUCCGCCGCCACUCUGGCGGCUAGCAGUGAUGCAAUGUUAGCAAAACAAAGAAGUGGGAAAACAAUUCCCCAGCUCGGCCAACAAAAGAAGUAAUCGUGCCCCCCGGUCAAGGUGUCUAGCUAUAUCGUCAUCGCUAAUGAUUCGGGGUUGCUGCCCGGUGCCAAUCCUGGUGAUUACGUGAACGAUUCAGUAAUUUUUGAGACAACUGAGGUAACAAAUAAAGAAACAUAUGAAUACGUGCUCGGGAAGCCUCUCGUCAAACCUGAUCAUCCUCCUCUAACACCGAGGAUGCACGAAUUACAUGAGUGGUACAUGAACAUCUUCAGGGAGACUAGGAAAGACUCUAUCCAUACGAGAGUGAAAAAAGAUCACGAUUUCAUUGGAACUUCAGUGCUGCUUGUUCAAUUUGAGGAGUUAUUUCAGUUAUACGAUCAACUGGCCCUCGACAAACAACUCCUGACUUCCUACUGUUUGUAAGUAUUACUUCUAUAGUUAAGUCUCUAGAUCAACUCGUUCAUUGCAUGUAUCUAUAAUUAUCCUCACUAUAUAUAUUAUGCAGAUUGAAGAUCGUCGAAUUAAAAAAAGCAGGAAUCUUCGACGUUGGGUUCAUUAGCCAAGAAUCGGUAAAUGUAUUGUCGGUAUGAAAUGAAACCAAAGAGACUGAGGUUAAGUUGCUAAAGUCGUUGCUUGCAAAUCAAAACAAAAGGGAAAUGCUCUUUCCUUACAAAUUCAAGUGAGUGUUGUUGUCUUCUCUGUAUACUCGGUUUCGCUUACUGGAGGUUAAGUAAAUGUACUUGAUGAGUUAUAUAUGCAUGCACAAUUACCACUUUAUUCUGCUAUCCAUUAAGCUUGACGGGGCAAAAGUAACUGUCUUAGACUCGAGACAUAAAGAUCCCGAGGAUUAUGCGGACAUGAUUGCAAUGCUCAAGAAGUAAGUUUAGUCAAUAACGGUACCAUACCAGCAUGCAACUUUCAUUAAUUUCCUGAUAUAAAGUAAUCAUUUUCUUUGCCUGGCAGGGUUUGGAAGAAGUUCACCAAAAAGGCUCCCGGUCUAAACAAAGAGUUGCAAUUUACGCAACCCCCAGUAAGUAGUACUAGCUAGUUCCGCGCAUCUCUAAUUGAUUCAAAUUUUCAUCAAUAUAUCAUUACCAUGCUUGCUUAUCAGUUUGAUUGAACUCUAUUCUCGUAAAGUGCUUGUACCAGGUAGCUGGGACUGAAAAUUGUGCAUACUACAUAUGCGAGUUCAUUCACCUCUCGACCUCUAGGUGGGUCAUCUCUAACGAACAAUUUGAAGUACAUAAAUAAUAUUCACAAUUUUAUUUUAUAUAUUACCAUCAAUUGUGUUGAGUUUUAUUCAUAUAUAUGCAUGUAUUGACCCCCUUCUUUAAAUUAGAUCUGGAAGAAGCGGGAUGAACCCCUAUCAGAUGAUGGCAUACGAGCAAUUCAAGAGGAAUUGGUGUGAUUCUUUCUUGACCACGCCAUACCUAAAGACGGAGAAUACCAUGUGAGCUAUUUGUGAUUGGAUUUUAGGUAGCUUAUGUUAGGAUUUGUAAAAGAUGUUAUAUUGUAAAAGAUGUUAAGGAUUGUAAAUGGUUUCCUUCAUUUUCUUAUUAGCUAGCUUUAUGUUCUCUCUAUAUGUAUAUUAACUAGCGUCGACCAAGCACGGAGAAAGAGAGGACACUUCUCUCUAUUAGCUAGCUAACACAAUAUGAAACCACUAAAUUAACCCUCCACCCCCCCUUCAAAAAAACAAAAACCCCAGCUCCGGCCAGAUGCUGACGCGUGGAUGCCAUGUUAUCCCUGUUGGUGUGACCAACCGGGACUAAAGGCCCUCCUGCCCAGGCUCCCCGCAGCGGCCAUGUGGAGACCAUUCGGCCCCGGUUCGUAAGCGAACCGGGACUAAAAGUUUCGCGCUUUAGUUCCGACCAUUUAGUUCUGGUUCAAGAACCGGGGCUAAUGGGCCUCUGGAACCGGAACAAAUGGGUCAUUUUCUACUAGUGAUCAGCCGAGAGUCUGCCAUACUUCUCUUGAUCUUUCAUAACGUAGGAUUAUAUGUUUAAUAUAUUCUCUUCCUUUUUCACAUACCAGACAUUAUGACGAGACCUUGAUGUGUGUGCACCAAGGCUGCAUGCACAGGCACCGUGCCAUGUAAGGUUUUCCAAGCAAAUAUUUUCACCUUUCUAGGCACCCUAACUAAGAUUCCAUAAUGUCCCAUAGAAGGUUGGUGGUUGAUGCCCCUUGACCAUUACUUCCCCUUAAUUUUUUCCCAAAUUGGUGGAUUCAUUCACAAUAAUAAGCUGACUGUGUUGUAAAAGAACAAGACUAGGUGAGGUUCCAUGCCACAAAGUCUUCCAUCGCAUUGACAUUUAGUUAAAUCUACACGAUAAUCUCGGCAUCCACUAGAGAGAAAAUAUGUGUAAUUAACAUUUUAUCCCAUUGCCCCGAAUAGGGGUCAAUCAACUCUUCAACCUUAGUAUUUCUCUUCCCUCACACACCCCGCAAAGUUAAUCUAGCAACAAGAAGUAUCACCUUAAUGGUGGACGUAGGUAGUUAGAGUUCUCUAGAAACCCUAGAAGCUGGUAACUAAUAUUUUUCAAAACAAUUAGAGGACGUCUAGCUUGUUUUUGUAGGAUGCAUGUGAUAUGGUAUAGCCUUUGUCAUGUUUAUGAGUUAAUUUAUGAGAUGAUUAUAUGAUGUAACAUUAAGUGACAUGCGCUGUCACGCCCAAGAUGCGACCCUAUCCUCAAUUUGGCACGAGGGUCUCGUCAGGGAUAGAAGCGCAUCUCGUCGUGUCGCAAGAAUGGAUAUCGUUACAAGUACACGUACUGAAAAGAAGAGAUAUAUAAUAGAAUUGGCUUACACUCGCCACAAGCUACAUCAGAGCCACAUCAGUACAUUACAUAAUCAUCAAGAGUAAGAGCAGGGUCCGUCUAUAGACAAAAACAAACGAGAAAAUAAGAACGACGUCCAUCCUUGCUAUCCCAGGUUGCCGGCCUGGAACCCAUCCUAGAUCGAUGAAGAAGAAGAAGAAGAAGCAACUCCAAAUGAACAAUCAACGCGCUCGCUUCGAGUAACCUUUACCUGGACCUGCAACUGGUGUUGUAGUAAUCUAUGAGCCACAUGGGACUCAACAAUCUCAUUUACAAAGGUAUCAAGACUAGCAAAGCUUAAUGGGUGAGGCAUGGUUAAGUAGUGAGGUUGCAGCAGCGGCUAAGCAUAUAUUUGGUGGCUAAACUUACGAGUACAAGAAAUAAGAGGGGGAAGAUCUACGCAUAGCGGACGUGAACUACGAUUGAUCAAACGAAUGAUCCUGAACACCUACCUAUGUCAGACAUAACUCCACCGUGUCCUCGGUCGGAGAAAGAGCUCACGAAAGAGACAUUUACGCACACAGUUGCAUAUUUUAAUUAAGUUAACUUCAAGUUAUCUAGAACCAGUGUUAAACAAAGUUUCCAUGUUGCCACAUAACCGCGGGCACGACUUUCCGAAAAGAUUUAACCCUGCAGGGGUGCUCCAACUAGUCCAUCACAAAUUACCACAAGCCGCAUAGAAAUCCUCAAUCACGAAGCUCACGAUCUCGUCGGAUUCCCUAGUGGAAAACCUCAACUCUUAGAAUACCCAAAGCAUCACCGGAAUCCCGAUGCACAAGAUAUUCCGUCAAAGAUAAAACUAAUCCAGCAAGGCCGCCCGACGUGUCGACGAACCCGAUAGGAGCAUCGUAUCUCGUUCUCAGGACACGACGGAUGAGCGAUGGUUACCACGCCAAACGCCGAGUUGCCCCGGGUAGCGUUAAUAAGCUCCUUUGUUUUGGACCAACACUCAUGAGGAGCACUGGCCCGGGGGUUGAUUAAAUUAUCCUCGGGUUAAUUACUCCCUAUGCAGUUCAUUAGUUAUUAGGAAAAUGUAGUACCAAAGUUGGGCCUUGCCAGACCAGCUUUAAUCUAAAACAAAUUAUCAAGGGGGUCCCCAUAACAACCCCGAACGUGUUAGGAGCGCUCAAUUAUGGAACAUAACACCGGUAGCCGAAAACUAAGGGGGCAAAGGUGGAACAAAACACCAGGCUAGAAAGGCCGAGCCUUCCACCUUUUACCAAGUAUAUAGGUGCAUUAAAUUAAAUAGCAUUUAAUAUGGUGAUAUAACAAGGAAGCCAUGUUAUCACAUGGAAGCAACUGCACGUGCAACUAGCAACGCUAACAACAUGGUUAAGCAAGCAGUAACAUAGCCAAACAGUGGUUUGCUAGGUUGAACAGGUUGAAGGUUUUCAUGGAAUUGUUGAGAGGCUAAUAUUUAACAUGUGGUAGGCAACGAGACAUAAACGGUAGCAACGGUAAAACUAGCAUGGCAAUGAUAGUAAUGAUAUCUGGGGAAAUGGUCAUCUUGCCUGAGAUCCCGCUUGGAAGAAGAACAACUCCGAGAAGUCGGCGAACCAACGUAGUCAAACGGGUCCUCACAUUCCGACACGCUUGCGGAACUCUAUUGAGACGGAGCAAACCGAAAACAAACAUCAACACAGAUAUUCACCACACGAUGCACAACAUGAUGCACAACCUAAUAUGAUGCAUGAACAGAUCAAUGAUGCAAGGCAUGGCAUGGCAAUUCACCUCACUCAAACAC
rnacentral:lncRNA from 1 species